rnacentral:rRNA from 1 species
UGGGGAAUUUUGCGCAAUGGGCGAAAGCUUGACGCAGCAACGCCGCGUGAUUGAAGAAGGACUUAGGUUCGUAAAAAUCUGUCGUAAGGGAAGAAUAAUUAAUAUUCUAACACAAUAUUAAUCUGACGGUACCUUACAAGAAAGCUCCGGCUAACUUCGUGCCAGCAGCCGCGGUAAUACGAGGGGAGCAAGCGUUGUUCGGAUUUAUUGGGCGUAAAGGGCUCGUAGGCGGAUUGAUCAGUCAAAAUUUAAAUCCAAUGGCUUAACCAUUGACCUGGUUUUGAUACUAUCAAUCUUGAGUUAUAUAGAGGUAAGCGGAAUUCCUGGUGUAGCGGUGAAAUGCGUAGAUAUCAGGAGGAACACCAAAGGCGAAGGCAGCUUACUGGGUAUAAACUGACGCUGAGGAGCGAAAGCGUGGGUAGCAAACAGG